rnacentral:lncRNA from 1 species
UUUUUUUUUUUCUUUUUUUUUUUUUUUACUUCAUUCCGGUCAUAGGGCUAAUAAGCGGCAGUGGCCAGAGUGUAUCUUUAUCUGUCAGGCUCUGAAGUAGAAAUUGCCAACCUCUUUACCGUGCUGCUCUUUAAACUCAGGGAGAAGGGAUUUAAGUUCGUGCUAUGAGGCGGAAGAGCAGGGUCAGGGAAGGGCCAGUAUCUGUGUCCUAUAUACCUCCCAGGGAAGGGAGCAUACGAUGAAAGCUGGCUGUGAAGAUGGAGCCUUUAUGGUAGGGGUGGAGGUGUGUGUGCAUGUGUGUGCGUGAGAGCGUGUGUGUUUGUAACAGCAAUGGGCCUGCUCAUGUGGGCCAGGCACUCAGGUAUUUCGCCUAGCCUUGGAUCUUCGAAGACGAAGCAAGCUAAACUUCACCCACAUUUCUCAAAUUCUUGGCCCUUGAUUCAUGGAGUUUCGAGACUGUCACUCUAAAGUCAUGAGUUUGCCCAUGUGCACCUGUAAAUGCACACACACUCUCACACAGGCUCACAAACCAAGACUUGUCACUGUAAACUGUUUGGUUCCAGGAAGGGUGAAUGCAUAAGCCUUAAGGAGAUACAGGCGUCAGUGGGCCCUGUCUGAUCUUCUCGGCACCUCACCUUAGGAUAGAAAUUUCCUUCUAAGGUUUUCCUUUUAAAUGCUAAGCCAAGGGGCAAGUUAAACAUGGAGAUACCACGACUGCCACUGAUCCACAGCUUUUACGCAACAUCUUCUAUAAAACAGAAACAGAAGUCAGGGAAGAAUGAUCUUCUUAUACAUCAACUCUCUAUGUAGAAAGAGAUAUAAGGACAGGAUACAGACAUAUGCAUCCCCUUAUAUAUUGUUAUAUAUAUCCUUAUAUAGUACUUAGAAUACAUAUGACCUUCUUAUAUGUCAUGUCUCUGAAAUUUCGAGGUAUUUUCUAUGACUAUUAACUUUGUUCUACCAGUAUGACUGACAGAAAUGUCUUUUCAGAUUUUCUGAAAAAAAAUUUUGGAAGCUGGUCCAUGUUGCAUUUAUAGGUGAGCUAUAAUAAAUCUUUGCAUUCUAGGAUAGAAGAGUUUUUGUUCACUGUCUCGUGGUAGCUAUUUGGGGGCUAAAUCCUCCCGGACCAUCACUUUUUCUACUGCAAGACCUUGUUCUAACCAUCCUCAGGUGUCCAUAGCAUGCCUGGCAUCUCCAGGGCUCACUCUUCUACUGGAUAUAGUUUCUGCUGUGAAGAAGCACUUGUCUAUCACUUCUGUUACCUUGACUUUACUUUCAGCCCUGAAAGGCAACAAAAUAUGUGAAGAGAUUAUAUUCCCAACUUCAUACCACAAGCUUUUUUUUUUUUUUGCCUUUUAGGGCAUAUGGAAAUUCCCAGGCUGGGGGUUGAAUUGGAGCUACAGCUGUCAGCCUAUACCAUAGCCAUAGCAACGUGGGAUCUGAGCUGCAUCUGCAACCUACACCAUGGCUCACAGCAACAGUGGAUGCUUAACCCACUGAGCGAGGCCAGGGAUCGAACCUGUGUCCUCAUGGACACUAGUUGGGUUCAUUAUCACUGAGCCACAAAGGGAACUCCUAGAAUAUAUAUAUAUAUAUAUUUUGUCUUUUUUGUCUUUUGUUGUUGUUGCUAUUUCUUGGGCCGCUCCCGUGGCAUAUGGAGGUUCCCAGAGUGCAGCCCUAGAAAAAGGCAAACAAACAAACAAACAAAAGAAUUGGCCGAGGAAAGCUGUAAAGCCAAAAUAUUAUUUUGUGGUAUAAUAUUCUGUGUUAACCAGUUGUUCUGUGACUUUAGUGAUCCACUCAGUGCUUGGUGGAAAGCUGAUACUUAGUGCCCUACAACGGUAAAUCCAGACAGGGGUCCACACAAGUCCUGAUGUCAAGGUCUCAGUCAAUACCAAUACUAAGACUAGCAAGCCCCUUCACUGAAGCCCUUCGUGUUAAUAAAAGCUACCUUGUGAUGAAUACUUAAUCUAUCCUGGACUCCAUGCUAAGCACCUUUUGGCGUAUACAUAAAUUCAUAUUAUCCUUUCACUAGCCCUCUGACCUGGGGAUCACCAAUCUCCUUACUGUGAAAACUCCACGCUUAAGAGACGUUAGGAGGCCUGCCCAGGUCACACAGUCAGGGAGUCCCGGAGCAGGAACUAAAAUCCAGCCCUGAGGCUCUGCUAGCCCUUUGUACACACCCAUCUGUAACACAGCCUGCUUUCCACAAGUCCACGGUCAGAGCACAAGGAAACUUCGGGGCAAUCAUCUCAUGAGUCCUCAACUCCAUUACUCUCCCCAAGUUCACCAGCUUCCUGCUCUUCUCCUGGCCAAGUAAAAGUCAACUGAACACUCUCUUAUAGAUAAUCUGAUAAGUAUUUAGUGAACAAAGAGGAAGAGUGAUACAUUUGCCAAAAAUUCUUUAGGUAGGUGUUUAUAAGAACAUGCAUCCUGGAAACAGGAAAGAAGCCCAAUGAAGCUAAUGUGUUUUGCAUAAAUAUCAUUAUUCUUGCACCUUGGAGCAAAUCAAAUAUUGGUUUAUACAUUGCUUAAAGAGCCUUAGGGGAGAAAUUAGCAUGAAAACCAUUUGCUUCCUAAAUACAAAGCUUAACUCACAAAAUAGGGCUGAAAUAAAGAUGGCAGAGUGAAGUAAAUCAGAGAGUGAAUAUCUCCGAGAUGGCUUAAGAGAAACAAAGGAAACCCAGAAUCCAGAAACCUGGUUGGGUGGGGUGCCCUGAAGCCUGACGCUUUGCUCUUCACUUUGCUGGCUUGCCCUGCAAUGAGAUAUUAUUAAACUAGGCAGGGGCAAACUGUGAUCUGGGUAGGCUGCCUACAGAGCCAACACGUGUUACCAGGAAGAAAAAGGAACGCACGCUGGACUUAAAAGCAACUGGGCGAGUCUGAAGUGCUGAUCAUUCUCAAGGAUGGGCCCUUUGGCAAUCGCAAAACUCGAUCCUGCCCCCAGGACCCAAUGUGAAACAAUACAAGAAGAACAGUUGCCUCGCUGGUACCCCCUGGCAGAUGAAUAACCGCUCACUGUCUUGAGGGAUGGUCGGUUGUGCUGGGCUUGUACCAGAACAAGCAGCCCAAAGCUAAGAAGGCCUUGAGUCCUAACACUUUCCUGUAUAGCCCACAGGUUUGGGUCAGGUAAGGGGGUGGAGACGGAAGUUGGGUUGGGCGUCAGAAUCCUGGCCAAAGUCGGGGAGGACUCUAGGCCUUGAAAAUCCCUUUGACCUUGCAUUGCCUUGUCCUUUACACCAGAACCUCACACCAUUAGGGGCUGGCAUUGUUAUUCUCACCCUAUAUCCAAGCGUGAGGAAAGACAUGUAAGAUAAAGGGAUAGAAUUUUUCAGCUCCUGCUCAAAUCCAUCGUCUACCAGGGAGCAAAUGUAGCCCGCUGAGCACAAGGUUGGCAAAGAGAGGCAGAUUAAGAACUGAUGCUCUAUAUCCAUCUCUAACAACCCUGGGAAGAAUUCCCAAACAGCAUCAUUUAUAAAAGAACCAGCAAAUGACCUUUUCCUGACAUAGCCCACAGCUUGUCACAAAAUCCAUAUGUGCCAGUCCAAAAAUCACUUUAAUUUUAUAUGUUUUAUACGCUUUCUUCCUUAAUGAUGCUAUUUGGAUAAUUUAGAUUUUAGAGAUAUGAUGAGUGCUUUAAACACUCUACAAUAGCUUUAUAUGUACGUUUCUGUGGCUGCUGUUAUCAACAGUGCUGUGUUAAUCUUUAUGGCUUUAAAAACAUCUUUACUCUACGAUGCUAUUGAUCAAUGUGUCCCAAGGAAGCAGUCUGAAUUAUACGGAGAAAAACCAGAAUGGAAUUUUAAAAACUUCAACACAUUUUUCUUAUGGAUUGUGAAGGAGAUAUAAAGUGGGUAUUCUGUAAGACUCUUUCAGAAAGAACUGAUCUUCAAUUAGUCAGAAAACAGCAGAAAAUAAGGUUGCUUUCCUCAGAGUGCAAAGGAUCAACCAAGUAAGCAAAUUAAGCUCUCAUUAACCUUCGCGAGACGUUUACCCUAAAACUUAGUUUCUUCAUCCGUAAGAUGAGACUACUAGCUGUUGCUGCAUGAAGCUUAACCGUGUAAGUGCUCCUUAAAGGCUCAUCGGCAUCAUCACCGCUGUCAUCAAUACUGCCGUUUGUCAUCUCAAGCUCAUGUACAGAGAGGUAACACUGAAUCAAGGAGGACGGGAGUGGUGUGCUACAGCAGGUCAGCUGGCUGGAGGUUAGGAAAUGAAGCAAGGCCCCUGUUCCGCAGGCUGACUGAUAGAUCUCGUACCCCAUACAGUUCCUCCAGUCUCAGAGAGGUGUUCUGUAAACACGGAGCUCCAGCCAUGGGAGGGUCUGGGUAAGGGCAUGGUCUGCCUGCCAAACUCUCAGCCCCCUUCCUGAAACACACGUGUCUCUCAGGUGGUACACUGCCUGGCACUAGAAAGCCAGCUCAGGGACUGACCUGGGCCCUCUAGUGACCCUCUGCCCAUACCUUGGGGUGAAGAAAGUCUUAAGGACCAUAUUUUCGCUGGGUGAAAUGGAACUUACUCUAAAAGACGCAACUUAUAAAUGGGCAUCCAAGUUCCAUGCAACUCUGCUUAUGACGACGCUGUGAUCCAAGUUAUUCCCCUGAAGAAAAGCCUUAGUCCUUUCAUCGGAGAUGCACUUUCUUCGUUCACACCAUUCACCUACCAUUUGACUGUUUUCUCUUUGUGUACUGUAGCGAGCUAACGGUUGGCCUGCGGACUUGUGGUGACGAAGAAAUAGUGUCAAGGACUUACCUGGGGGGACAGGAGACACUUCAAGACACUCUACCCUCAACAGAGGCUGUGGGGUAUCCGCCCUGAGAAUCACUGGUCCCUCUAAUGCCGAGGACCACAGGCAGCUCCUUAUGAAUGCUCUGGGCCUACACCUGCACCCCUCCAUUCUAUGAGGUCAAAUGAGGGUUGGGUAUUCUUACCAGGUAGGCCUUUUAACUUCUCCACUGGAACAUACAGGUGGGUGUGGCACCCACUUAUGGGGAAGUGACAGUUUUUCACAGGCAAGGCUUUGGUGGCCUAUGGGUUCAAACUGUGACUCACUGCAGUGGUCAGAUAAAGAUGAGCUGCAUAGAGCUUCCUGCCUCUGGGUGGGUGUUGAUGUGCAACCCCCCACAUGGACACCACUGGCUUCUUAACAGAUGGGUGUUGGUAUGAGAAGGACACAGCCUGGCUCAGCCAUUAAGCUAAUUAAUAAUGACGGCACCAAGAGCUUCAUCAUCCUUGAAUGAAAUGUUUAUGGACAUCCUUUGGAAAGGAUGAUAAAGCUUGUCCUUUGCAAGGCCAAUUUUUGGCAUAAAAAUAUUGAUCACACAGCUGGGGGAGCUGGAACUGGAGAGUGACUGCUGAAGGGGAAAGGAUAUUUUUUAAGAUGUGAAGUGAAAUUUGAGGCUUACACUCAUUUUGACAAGGAGGCUGCCUGAAACACCACAUCCUCAUCUCUCAAGUACAGCCCUGGUGAGGACCUUGUAAGGGUGCUGCCUAACGCCUCAGUUGUAGUAGAUGAAGGAUACACAGCGCCAUGUGAGUUAAGUCCCUCAUGGCUCACGAAAAGAAUCCUUUACAGAGACCAAAGCAUAGGAGGGCAAUUAAACAGGCAGGCACAUCAGCACCAAAAUCCCAUGUCUCUGAUAAUGUCACGCUGCUGGUGUUUUUAGCCAUAAACUUCUUUUGACAAAACCAGUCUUCUUUGCUAGAAGAAAAGCCACUGUAAUUCAGUGACGGCUUCAUGUAGGAGAGAAUCUUGAAAAUCACCACGUAAAGCAUAU